rnacentral:rRNA from 1 species
GGUGAGUAACACGUGGGUAACCUGCCUGUAAGACUGGGAUAACUCCGGGAAACCGGGGCUAAUACCGGAUGCUUGUUUGAACCGCAUGGUUCAAACAUAAAAGGUGGCUUCGGCUACCACUUACAGAUGGACCCGCGGCGCAUUAGCUAGUUGGUGAGGUAACGGCUCACCAAGGCAACGAUGCGUAGCCGACCUGAGAGGGUGAUCGGCCACACUGGGACUGAGACACGGCCCAGACUCCUACGGGAGGCAGCAGUAGGGAAUCUUCCGCAAUGGACGAAAGUCUGACGGAGCAACGCCGCGUGAGUGAUGAAGGUUUUCGGAUCGUAAAGCUCUGUUGUUAGGGAAGAACAAGUACCGUUCGAAUAGGGCGGUACCUUGACGGUACCUAACCAGAAAGCCACGGCUAACUACGUGCCAGCAGCCGCGGUAAUACGUAGGUGGCAAGCGUUGUCCGGAAUUAUUGGGCGUAAAGGGCUCGCAGGCGGUUUCUUAAGUCUGAUGUGAAAGCCCCCGGCUCAACCGGGGAGGGUCAUUGGAAACUGGGGAACUUGAGUGCAGAAGAGGAGAGUGGAAUUCCACGUGUAGCGGUGAAAUGCGUAGAGAUGUGGAGGAACACCAGUGGCGAAGGCGACUCUCUGGUCUGUAACUGACGCUGAGGAGCGAAAGCGUGGGGAGCGAACAGGAUUAGAUACCCUGGUAGUCCACGCCGUAAACGAUGAGUGCUAAGUGUUAGGGGGUUUCCGCCCCUUAGUGCUGCAGCUAACGCAUUAAGCACUCCGCCUGGGGAGUACGGUCGC